rnacentral:tRNA from 1 species
GGAGAGGUGCCGGAGUGGUCUAACGGCGUCGCUUGGAAGGCGAAUGGGUGGAAACGCCACAAGAGUUCGAAUCUCUUCCUCUCCGCCA